rnacentral:rRNA from 1 species
UCGACGAUGAAUCUUCUAGCUUGCUAGAAGUGGAUUAGUGGCGCACGGGUGAGUAAUGCAUAGGUUAUGUGCCCUUUAGUCUGGGAUAGCCACUGGAAACGGUGAUUAAUACUGGAUACUCCCUACGGGGGAAAGUUUUUCGCUAAAGGAUCAGCCUAUGUCCUAUCAGCUUGUUGGUGAGGUAAUGGCUCACCAAGGCUAUGACGGGUAUCCGGCCUGAGAGGGUGAUCGGACACGCUGGAACUGAGACACGGUCCAGACUCCUACGGGAGGCAGCAGUAGGGAAUAUUGCUCAAUGGGGGAAACCCUGAAGCAGCAACGCCGCGUGGAGGAUGAAGGUUUUAGGAUUGUAAACUCCUUUUGUUAGAGAAGAUUAUGACGGUAUCUAACGAAUAAGCACCGGCUAACUCCGUGCCAGCAGCCGCGGUAAUACGGAGGGUGCAAGCGUUACUCGGAAUCGCUGGGCGUAAAGAGUGCGUAGGCGGGGUAAUAAGUCAGAUGUGAAAUCCUGUAGCUUAACUACAGAACUGCAUUUGAAACUGUUACUCUGGAGUGUGGGAGAGGUAGGUGGAAUUCUUGGUGUAGGGGUAAAAUCCGUAGAGAUCAAGAGGAAUACUCAUUGCGAAGGCGACCUGCUGGAACAUUACUGACGCUGAUGCACGAAAGCGUGGGGAGCAAACAGGAUUAGAUACCCUGGUAGUCCACGCCCUAAACGAUGGAUGCUAGUUGUUGCCUUGCUUGUCAGGGCAGUAAUGCAGCUAACGCAUUAAGCAUCCCGCCUGGGGAGUACGGUCGCAAGAUUAAAACUCAAAGGAAUAGACGGGGACCCGCACAAGCGGUGGAGCAUGUGGUUUAAUUCGAAGAUACGCGAAGAACCUUACCUAGGCUUGACAUUGAUAG